CGGAUAUGGAUCGGAUAGUUUUCUAUUCAUAUCCAUAUCAAUUUUUCUUUGACGGAUAUAGAUAUGGAUACGGAUAUUAAUCUGAUAUUCAAAUUUCUAUUUAUAUUCGGAUAGAUUCGAAUAUAAAAAUAAAUUUGGAUGGAUAUUAUCCGGUCCAUUUUCAUAUCUACUUGGAUCUCUUCAAUUGAAAUGAGAAUUAUAGGUGAUCGGAGCUCGUAGGGUUAAGCCCUCCAACUAUCUCAAGUCAUUUGUUUGACUGAUCUCAAAAUUCACUACUUUUUCAUAGGAAUAAAAAUAUAAUUACCCACCAAUGUUAAGAUAUUAGCCCCACUGUACCAAGG
rnacentral:lncRNA from 1 species